rnacentral:lncRNA from 1 species
UGUAAUACCCCAUUUCCCCGAGCUAAAUUUAUAAAUUUUUUUAACUUAGAUUUAAGAUGAUUCACGCCGGAAUGAGAAAAAUAAUUUACUUUAAUUCCAACAAAAAUAAUUUACAAAAUGAUUUGUAAAUUUAGUUAUUAAAUUUUUAUGCAUUGCAUAUUUAUUAAAUUUAACAUUUAGCAUCUACACGAGCUAUUUAAUUAGCAAAUCCUGAAGAAUUAUUACAGUUCGAUAAAUCAACACAGAUAUUUUAUUAGUCAAAUCACCUACACCCUAUGAUAUCCAUCAGCCACCUACCCACCUCCCAUACCUGCAUUACACCUCAUUCAUCACUACCAUACCUGCAUUACACCUCAUUCAUCACUUCACACCAAUCACCCAACACACUUUCAUUUUUAAAGAGAGAGUUGAAGCUUCCUAACUUCUUCAGCCAACCAGUCAAACAGGAGCACAUAGAGUUCAAGUUCAGAGCACAACAAUCACCGAUUCAAGGUUUUACCCCACUAAUUUUUCACAGAUUUUUAUUCCAGCAAUAAGCAUACAAUUUCACAGGCAUGAUAUAUUUUAGUUCCACAAAUCUAUCAGCAAGCUUUCAUCUUUCAUAUAUUCGUGUAUAUAUAUAUAUAUAUAAG